GACGAACGCUGGCGGCGUGCCUAAUACAUGCAAGUAGAACGCAGUUGCGAACGGGUGAGUAACGCGUAGGUAACUGCCUCAUAGCGGGGGAUAACUAUUGGAAACGAUAGCUAAUACCGCAUACUGUGAGAUGGACCUGCGUUGUAUUAGCUAGUUGGUGAGGUAAAGGCGCACCAAGGCGACGAUACAUAGCCGACCUGGGAGGGUGAGCGACCACACUGGGACUGGGACACGGCCCAGGUUCCUACGGGAGGGAGCAGUAGGGAAUCUGCGGCAAUGUACGGAAGUCUGACCGAGCAACGCCGCGGGAGUGAAGAAGUUUUUCGGACCAUAAAGCUCAAUUGGUAGAGAAGCGGUACCUAACCAGAAAGGAACGGCUAACUACGUGCCAGCAGCCGCGGUAAUUC
rnacentral:rRNA from 1 species